AUUGAACGCUGGCGGCGUGCCUAACACAUGCAAGUCGAGCGGUAACAGGUGUAGCAAUACAUGCUGACGAGCGGCGAACGGGUGAGUAAUGCUUUGGAAUCUUCCCAGUAGUGGGGAAUAACCAGUCGAAAGAUUGGCUAAUACCGCAUACGUCUGUAAAGGGAAAGCGGGGGACGUCGCCUCUUCUUCGGAAGAGAGGCCUCGCGCUAUUGGAUGAGCCAAAGCGGAUUAGCUAGUUGGUGGGGUAAGUGGCCGUACCAAGGCGACAAUCCGUAGCUGGUCUGAGAGGACGACCAGCCACACCGGAACUGAGACACGGUCCGGACUCCUA
rnacentral:rRNA from 1 species